rnacentral:rRNA from 1 species
GGAAUAUUGCGCAAUGGAGGAAACUCUGACGCAGUGACGCCGCGUGCAGGAAGAAGGUUUUCGGAUUGUAAACUGCUUUAGACAGGGAAGAAAAAGGACAGUACCUGUAGAAUAAGCUCCGGCUAACUACGUGCCAGCAGCCGCGGUAAUACGUAGGGAGCGAGCGUUAUCCGGAUUUAUUGGGUGUAAAGGGUGCGUAGACGGGAUAGCAAGUUGGCUGUGAAAUCCCUCGGCUUAACUGAGGAACUGCAACCAAAACUACUAUUCUUGAGUGCUGGAGAGGAAAGUGGAAUUCCUAGUGUAGCGGUGAAAUGCGUAGAUAUUAGGAGGAACACCAGUGGCGAAGGCGACUUUCUGGACAGUAACUGACGUUGAGGCACGAAAGUGUGGGGAGCAAACA